rnacentral:lncRNA from 7 species
CCGUGGCUGGCCAGGGGACAGGGCCGCCAGGCGCCAGGGGCUCGGCCGCGGCUCACCUCGCGCGGGCGCUGGUCGCCUCGCUGGGCUGCAGCGCCGCCUGGGGCAGGAGCCAGGUGGACACGGGGCAGUUCUGGCUAAUCGACGCCUGCAACCAACGGGAGAAAAAGAUGUGGGAGAGAAAUAUGGACUGUAUAGGAGAAGAUAGGAAAGGUGCAGGUCGACGGGCGGUUGGACGAGGAAGAGAAACAGUAGCUGAUAAUGUUGACUGGCAAGUGGGACCCGGUGCAGGCGCGCAUCCGCGCGGUUUGCAGGACGUGGGCGUGGCUUGAAGCGGGGCAUGCGCAAGCUAAUCCUGCAUGGCCAUGGGGACUGCAUGCGUGCUCGGGAUGGAAGAGAAAAAAAAGGAAAAAAGCGCGGGG